UACGGGGGGGGCAAGCGUUGUUCGGAAUUACUGGGCGUAAAGGGCUCGUAGGUGGCCAACUAAGUCAGACGUGAAAUCCCUCGGCUUAACCGGGGAACUGCGUCUGAUACUGGAUGGCUUGAGUUUGGGAGAGGGACGCGGAAUUCCAGGUGUAGCGGUGAAAUGCGUAGAUAUCUGGAGGAAUACCGGUGGCGAAGGCGGCAUCCUGGACCGGCAUUGACGCUGAGUGAGCGAAAGCCAGGGGAGCAAACGGG
rnacentral:rRNA from 1 species